AUUGAACGCUGGCGGUAUGCUUUACACAUGCAAGUCGAACGGGCUAUGGGGCUUGCUCCAUAGUUAGUGGCGAACGGGUGAGUAAUAUAUCGGAACAUAUCCGGAAGUGGGGGAUAACUUAGCGAAAGUUACGCUAAUACCGCAUAUGCCCUGAGGGGGAAAGGGGGGAUCGCAAGACCUCUCGCUUUCGGAGUGGCCGAUAUCGGAUUAGCUAGUUGGUGAGGUAAAGGCUCACCAAGGCGACGAUCCGUAGCUGGUCUGAGAGGACGACCAGCCACACUGGAACUGAGACACGGUCCAGACUCCUACGGGUGGCAG
rnacentral:rRNA from 1 species